rnacentral:rRNA from 1 species
AUGGAGGAACCUGACGUUCACGGGGUCCCGGUCUUGGCCAUGCAGAGGGGCGCAGCCCAUGCAAGGAGGGGAGGCCAUGGUGGGUGCACUAGGCCUACGCGUGCAGCGAUCAACAGGGGCUGGGUCAUGGCUCGAUGCGGCUGGGUGCUGCUAGUCGUCUCCUUCACCAGGAGGCAGAACGAAGGUGCGGCAGCAGGGCGAGCAGGGGGGAUGGCGCUGGUCGUCGUUGUUCGGCACGCAGAAGCAGGGUAG